GGCAACUUGGCCGAGCGGUCUAAGGCGCUAGAAUCAGGUAAGGCAUUGUCUUCCCUCCAUCUAGUCUCAUUGAGGCGUGAGUUCGAAUCUCACAGUUGUCA